rnacentral:rRNA from 1 species
AGUGAACGCUGGCGGUAGGCCUAACACAUGCAAGUCGAACGGAAGCACAGUAAGCGCUUGCUCUUACGGGUGGCGAGUGGCGGACGGGUGAGGCAUACAUCGGCAUCUUCUUUUUCGUGGGGGAUAACGUAGGGAAACUUACGCUACUACCGCACAUGAUCUACGGCUGAAAGCAAGAGAGCUUGGGAGCUUGCGCGACUCAAUGAGAUGGUGUCGGAUUAGCUAGUUGGGUGGGUAAAGUCCCACCAAGGCAACGAUACGUAGCUGACCUGAGAGGAUGAUCGGCCACACUGGAACUGAGACACGGUCCAGACUCCUACGGGAGGCAGCAGUGGGGAAUAUUGCACAAUGGGCGCAAGCCUGACGCAGCCAUGCCGCGUGAGUGAAGAAGGUCUUCGGAUUGUAAAGCCCUGUUAUUGGGAAAGAAAAGCAGCGGGAGAAUACACGGCUGUUCUGACGGUACCCAAAGAGUAAGCAACGGCUAACUUCGUG